rnacentral:rRNA from 1 species
GACGAACGCUGGCGGCGUGCCUAAUACAUGCAAGUAGAACGCUGAAGAGAGGAGCUUGCUCUUCUUGGGUGAGUUGCGAACGGGUGAGUAACGCGUAGGUAACCUGCCUGGUAGCGGGGGAUAACUAUUGGAAACGAUAGCUAAUACCGCAUAAAAUUGAUUAUUGCAUGAUAAUUAAUUGAAAGAUGCAACUGCAUCACUACCAGAUGGACCUGCGUUGUAUUAGCUAGUUGGUGAGGUAACGGCUCACCAAGGCGACGAUACAUAGCCGACCUGAGAGGGUGAUCGGCCACACUGGGACUGAGACACGGCCCAGACUCCUACGGGAGGCAGCAGUAGGGAAUCUUCGGCAAUGGGGGGAACCCUGACCGAGCAACGCCGCGUGAGUGAAGAAGGUUUUCGGAUCGUAAAGCUCUGUUGUAAGAGAAGAACGGGUGUGAGAGUGGAAAGUUCACACUGUGACGGUAUCUUACCAGAAAGGGACGGCUAACUACGUG